rnacentral:rRNA from 1 species
GAACGAAAGUUAGAGGUUCGAAGGCGAUCAGAUACCGCCCUAGUUCUAACCAUAAACGAUGCCAGCUAGCAAUUGGGUGUAGCUACUUUUAUGGCUCUCUCAGUCGCUUCCCGGGAAACCAAAGCUUUUGGGCUCCGGGGGAAGUAUGGUUGCAAAGCUGAAACUUAAAGGAAUUGACGGAAGGGCACCACCAGGAGUGGAGCCUGCGGCUUAAUU